CCUGUGGAGCGUCACAGCAAACGCGAGUAGCUAAGGCAAAAGCGGACGCGGACGAAGCAGGAA
ncrna:unclassified sequences RAGATH-18 RNA